rnacentral:rRNA from 1 species
AAGAUUAAGCCAUGCAUGUCUAAGUAUAAGCAAUUAUACAGCGAAACUGCGAAUGGCUCAUUAUAUAAGUUAUCGUUUAUUUGAUAGUACCUUACUACUUGGAUAACCGUGGUAAUUCUAGAGCUAAUACAUGCUAAAAAUCCCGACUUCGGAAGGGAUGUAUUUAUUAGAUUAAAAACCAAUGCCCUCCGGGGCUCACUGGUGAUUCAUGAUAACUCCUCGAAUCGCAUGGCCUUGCGCCGGCGAUGGUUCAUUCAAAUUUCUUCCCUAUCAACUUUCGAUGUUUGGGUAUUGGCCAAACAUGGUUGCAACGGGUAACGGAGGGUUAGGGCUCGACCCCGGAGAAGGAGCCUGAGAAACGGCUACUACAUCCAAGGAAGGCAGCAGGCGCGCAAAUUACCCAAUCCCGACUCGGGGAGGUAGUGACAAUAAAUACUGAUACAGGGCUCUUUUGGGUCUUGUAAUUGGAAUGAGUACAAUUUAAAUCCCUUAACGAGGAACAAUUGGAGGGCAAGUCUGGUGCCAGCAGCCGCGGUAAUUCCAGCUCCAAUAGCGUAUAUUAAAGUUGUUGUGGUUAAAAAGCUCGUAGUUGAACCUUGGGCCUGGCUGGCCGGUCCGCCUCACCGCGUGUACUGGUCCGGCCGGGCCUUUCCCUCUGUGGAACCCCAUGCCCUUCACUGGGUGUGGCGGGGAAACAGGACUUUUACUGUGAAAAAAUUAGAGUGCUCCAGGCAGGCCUAUGCUCGAAUACAUUAGCAUGGAAUAAUAGAAUAGGACGUGUGGUUCUAUUUUGUUGGUUUCUAGGACCGCCGUAAUGAUUAAUAGGGACAG